AGGAAAUCUAAUAUUUCAAUUGAUAUUUAGUAUGCUGUAUCAAUAAUUCUCUCCAGCUCUUCUAUAGCUGAAUAGUGACUAUUGAAAAAAAUCUAACGUAGACAGCAACUAUAAACUCCUGACAAAAUAUAAAGGUUAACUUUCUGAAGGAAUUGGCUAAUAAUCCACAGCAGGCAUAUACUAGAGGAGAGUAACUUACUGAGAUGAAAGAAACAGGACUGGAUGAAUUUUUCAUUGUUAUAGCUUUUAAACUAAGGGCAGUCCCAAGUCUUACCAGACUGGGAGGCUUAAAAAUCCAGCAAAAAACUGAUAGCCUAACUGGCAGAAGAAUCAAGAGUUUAGGACAACUAUAGCCACUAGAAAUUGACGAAGAAAUCCUACAAAGGAGGGUUCUAAAACUGAGAACACAAAUCUAGCUAUAAGCUCUCCCCAGAUUUCCAGCUGACCCCUGAAUCAUACCUGCAUGGGGCAGGCUCCAGCAGGCCAACUAAAACUAAAAUAGUAGUACUGAAAUUUAAGUGUGUUGUCUGUUUUUUAAGAGAGAGUUUGCAAUUUGAGUCCAUUCAAAUUAAAUAUUAAAACAAAUUAGUCAGCACUUUUUAGAGACACCAUAGAAUCCAGAAUCUCUCCAAUACAUCAUUUACAUUGUCCAAAAUACAGUCCAUAGUAACUUGAUGAAAAAAUUGGGAAAAUAGGGCCAGGGAUUUAGCUCAGUGGUUUCGCCGCCUGCUAUGCAAGCGCAAAGACCCGAGUUCGAUUCCCGGUACCAAAAAAAAAAAGAAAUUGGGAAAAUGAACAAUUUUAAAAAGAGAAGAAAAUUGGUGUCAUGUGACCUUCAAAAAACUCUCAGAUGUAAAUAGCAGGAUUGAAACACAGGGCUUCAUGCAUGCUAAGAAUAUGCUCUACCACCGAGAUAUACUGUCAAGCCCUGGAUUGUUGUUUGACUACUUAGAAAAUCUUCAAGAUGGGUUGGCAACUGCAGGAGAAGAAUGAAGGAGAGCCAUCUUCUCAUCCUGAAUAUGCUGAGAUAAGGGACACAUAAGUGUUUACUGUAGACCAGA
ensembl:lncRNA